AUGGUUGCUGAUGUAGAGUUUUGUAACGGUGGACCCCACAGUCUAUGACAGAAACAAGUAGGACAGAAAAUUCCAUCUUCAUCACUAACAAAAGAAAAAGGGAGGUUUGAAUUUUAAGAUUAGGUUACAAACAAAACAACAAUAAAACCAUUUGCUGAUACUACCUUUCAUACAUUGUUAUCACAAAUAGGAGCAGUACAUAUUGGCAGCCAUGUAGCUUUGUAGUUGCUUCGAAUAAUUUUUUCCCUUGUCUGGUGAUUGGUUGGACUUUGAAUACCUCCUAUCCUUAUAGCCAUGGAACAUUUGACAUUGACUCCAUUUACACUUGCAGAAACAAAAACGAACAUAUUUGCAACAAACAUCUAGAGGAGGAAUUGCUUGUUACUGAGUACUCUACUGAACUGUCAAUUUGUUCGUUGUCAGGGGGCUAUAUCGAGUUUGGUUGCCAUAAUAAUGGUUGCCUCGCGAAUUGGAAAUGCUUUACCGAAUUCCAGGAUAUCGCCAAGUGUGCCAUAUUGUCAUAAUCGUUUUCCUCCUUAGGAUGGUUACCAAUGUGCAGUUGAAUUCUAAAAGGUUUUGUUUGAUAUGCUAUAUUUAAAGAACUGAUGUUGGCACCAGCUUGAUGGGAAAAAGUCAUUUCCAAUGUGGGCACGGAAACUUGGAUUUAUUUGGUGAUAGUCAGAUGAUUUUCCUGAAGUUGCAGUUUGAAAUAACCUUUCAAAGCCUAAACUCAUCUUUGUAGAAAGGGACUUGUGAGAAGUAACGUUGGCUCUGUAAAUGUUCUUGGUUUGGGGCAAGACGUUGAAUAAAUUGUGAUGAUUGGAUGGACAACAUGGAAUUCCUACAGAUUUUGUUUGAUAUGCUGUAUUUAAAGAACUGAUGUUGGCACCAGCUUGAUGGGAAAAAGUCAUUUCCAAUGUGGGCACAGGGAAACUUGGAUUUAUUUGGUAAUAGAGUCGGAUGGUUUUCCUGAAGUUGCAGUUUGAAAUAACCUUUCAAAGCCUGAACUCAUCUUCGUAGAAAGGGACUUGUGAGAAGUAACGCUGGCUCUGUAAAUGUUCUUGGUUUGGGGCAAGACGUUGAAUAAAUUGUGAUGAUUGGAUGGACAACACGGAAUUCCUACACUUUAUUCAUAUUCCCCAAACGGUAUUUAAAAUUCAAAAAUUGAAGUGCAUAUCUGGGCUCCCUUCCUUUCCGUAGCCCCGUUUCCCCUUGACUCGUAAUAAGCCCGUAGGGGGUCAUGCCCCUACUGUACGGUAUAUUUAAAAAUAACAUAUACCGAGGUUUGGAGGGCUCUGGCCGGAAAGGGGACGUGGGCUGGCCGCUUAGUCCGAUGAUGUGUUCACGGAGGGCGACGUGGCUACCCACAAAUCCGAACUAAAGGUUAAUCGCUCCAGUAAAAAUGUUCCAUAUCUUCGGCUCUUCUUCCGGCUUCUCUUAGCCAAUCACCGGGUAAUCUCCCCGGUGGGUCAACAAGGCAGUGUCUCCCCCUGCCUGGGUUGACGGCAACUUUUGAAAGGGCUAUUGUGCCUUUUUAAAGUUGCAAAAUUAAU